CCGACAUGAUGGUGACUUCAACUGCUUUGACCUCAUCGCCAGAGGUCAUUAUGAAGUGCAUAGCGACGGCACCACUGUGGAAAAAUCUGCAGGGGCACAUCCCUCAGGCCAGGCUGCCCGCUUUUCUUUGCACCGCCCACCAAGCACUGCCACAGCCUCCUCCUGUCCAAUGCCAAGGAGCACCACUAAAACCUUUGUGAGGGUCAGCAUACUGGAAGCAAAAUUCCAGGAAAAUAUUUGCAGUGGCUGAACCCCAGAUGGAACUGCUACAAGUCAAUAAAAGGAAGCGGUAGAGUCAAAGAGAAGAUACUGGCCUUCAAGAGGUUAUGGCAGACAUUGAAGAGGCUGUCGAAGCAGCCCAGGGACUAAAGGAAGUGACGAAGAUGAUUAAGGAUUUGAGGGGAUUUGCACAUUCCACAGUGACAACAACCCUGUCUUUUUCAGAGGCUGAAGUAGCUUCUUUAAGAGCGGUUUUUGCCUGUCUUGUCUGCAAAGGUCCUCUAGACAAGCCAAUGUUCUCAACAUGCUGCAGAACCCUAAUCGGGUGUAAGGCAUGUGUUGUGGAGUGGAACAGUAGCCACAGCUACUGCCCCGAGUGUCGCGCUGUGGAUUUGGAGAACAGCGUUUAUGAAGUGGCUGGACUUUCUGAGGCACUGGCACCACUGGAGAAGUUAUUCUAGUUUUUCUUCCAUUUAGUAUGUUGCUAUGGUGGCAACAAAUGUGCAUACAGUUCUUCAAAACCUUGUUUUUAUAAAGAAACAAUGUCUAAUGUUAACAGUUUUACUGUCACAUGUAAUUGUGGCACGUAGAUAAUGUUUACCAGAUUUUCUACUGGAUAUACAAGAUUUUCUACUUGUAUUUUUUCACAUUAAAAGAAAUAUGCAGACAUCUGGACAAACUUGGAAUUUAUUCAGCUACAAUUGAGCUUGAGCAGUUUCUCACAGCUACUCUACAAACAUGCAUAGUUCAGUGGUGGAAAUUUGAAA